AAAAGCUUGGCAAGGCUCAGAGAAGAAGAGUCAGAACGAUAAGGGAGGAGAGUUAGUAGAGGAGAGUUGUAUCUCUUAACACACAAAAGAACUAAUGGCUCCUAUAUUCAUGAUGCAGCUCGGGCUAUUGGAGUAAGAAAUGUGUUG